UACGAAGGGAGCUAGCGUUGUUCGGAAUCACUGGGCGUAAAGCGCACGUAGGCGGAUGUGUCAGUCAGGGGUGAAAUCCCCGGAGCUCAACUUCGGAACUGCCUUUGAUACAGCACGUCUUGAGUCCGAUAGAGGUGGGUGGAAUUCCUAGUGUAGAGGUGAAAUUCGUAGAUAUUAGGAAGAACACCGGGUGGCGAAGGCGGCCCCACUGGGAUCGUGACUGACG
rnacentral:rRNA from 1 species